AACGAACGCUGGCGGCGUGGAUAAGACAUGCAAGUCGAACGGGACUAAAUCUGUAGCAAUACAGGUUUAGUUUAGUGGCGAACGGGUGCGUAACACGUGGGGAAUCUGCCGAGAAGUGGGGGAUAGCUCGCCGAAAGGCGAAUUAAUACCGCAUAUGAUCAGCUAAGACAUCUUAGCGACAUCAAAGCCGGGGCAACCUGGCGCUUCUUGAUGACCCCCGCGGCCUANCAGCUAGUUGGUGAGGUAACGGCUCACCAAGGCUAUGACGGGUAGCUGGUCUGAGAGGACGACCAGUCACACUGGAACUGAGACACGGUCCAGACACCUACGGGGUGCAGCAGUCGAGAAUUUUUCUCAAUGGGGCAACCCUGAAGGAGCGACGCCGCGUGGAGGAUGAAGGCUUU
rnacentral:rRNA from 1 species